UGAACGCUGGCGGCAGGCCUAACACAUGCAAGUCGAGCGGAUGAAGGGAGCUUGCUCUCUGAUUCAGCGGCGGACGGGUGAGUAAUGCCUAGGAAUCUGCCUGGUAGUGGGGGACAACGUUUCGAAAGGAACGCUAAUACCGCAUACGUCCUACGGGAGAAAGCAGGGGACCUUCGGGCCUUGCGCUAUCAGAUGAGCCUAGGUCGGAUUAGCUAGUUGGUGAGGUAACGGCUCACCAAGGCGACGAUCCGUAACUGGUCUGAGAGGAUGAUCAGUCACACUGGAACUGAGACACGGUCCAGACUCCUACGGGAGGCAGCAGUGGGGAAUAUUGGACAAUGGGCGAAAGCCUGAUCCAGCCAUGCCGCGUGUGUGAAGAAGGUCUUCGGAUUGUAAAGCACUUUAAGUUGGGAGGAAGGGCAUUAACCUAAUACGUUAGUGUUUUGACGUUACCGACAGAAUAAGCACCGGCUAACUUCGUGCCAGCAGCCGCGGUAAUACGAAGGGUGCAAGCGUUAAUCGGAAUUACUGGGCGUAAAGCGCGCGUAGGUGGUUUGUUAAGUUGAAUGUGAACGCCCCGGGCUCAACCUGGGAACUGCAUCCAAAACUAGCAAGCUAGAGUAUGGCAGAGGGUGGUGGAAUUUCCUGUGUAGCGGUGAAAUGCGUAGAUAUAGGAAGGAACACCCAGUGGCGAAGGCGACCACCUGGGCUAAUACUGACACUGAGGUGCGAAAGCGUGGGGAGCAAACAGGAUUAGAUACCCGGGUAGUCCACGCCGUAAACGAUGUCGACUAGCCGUUGGGAUCUUUGAGAUCUUAGUGGCGCAGUUAACGCAUUAAGUCGACCGCCGUGG
rnacentral:rRNA from 1 species